rnacentral:rRNA from 1 species
GCAAGUCGAGGGGUAACGUGAGUGCUUGCACUUGAUGACGACCGGCGCACGGGUGCGUAACGCGUAUACAAUCUACCUUUUGCUGAGGGAUAGCCCAGAGAAAUUUGGAUUAAUACUUCAUGAUAUGUAUUAAUGGCCUCAUUAAUAUAUUAAAGGUUACGGCAAAAGAUGAGUAUGCGUUCUAUUAGCUAGUUGGUGAGGUAACGGCUCACCAUGGCGACGAUAGAUAGGGGCCCUGAGAGGGGGAUC